UACUCGCGGUCCAAGUCGCAGCCAUCAUUAUUAGGUCUAAAACAUCCGUAGCUUGUUGCAUAAGUUUCUUGUGAAAUCCUACAUCUUAAGUGUAGGGCGUGCAAGAAAUACUGCGCAGCUAGAGACCGGAAGACGUGAAGAGUACGGCAGAAGUAGUAGUAAAAUACGUUAAUCUUUGUCGGACUCACAAUAGCGAAGGCACUUCACGAGUACGGUUCUGACAGUGAGGGAUGAAGGCUCGGGGCGCAAAAGGGAUUAGAAACCCUGGUAGU
rnacentral:rRNA from 1 species